UACGUAGGGUGCGAGCGUUGUCCGGAAUUAUUGGGCGUAAAGAGCUCGUAGGCGGUCUGUCGCGUCUGCUGUGAAAACUCGAGGCUCAACCUCGGGCUUGCAGUGGAUACGGGCAGACUAGAGUGCGGUAGGGGAGACUGGAAUUCCUGGUGUAGCGGUGGAAUGCGCAGAUAUCAGGAGGAACACCGAUGGCGAAGGCAGGUCUCUGGGCCGCAACUGACGCUGAGGAGCGAAAGCAUGGGGAGCGAACAGG
rnacentral:rRNA from 1 species